ACCAAAGUCUCAACUCCAAAACACGUUUAGAAGCCAAAAAUAAUCACUCUUCAAACCAUGGUCUGAGAAGACUUCUUCGUCGCGCCGAAAAUCGCCUCCAAUGGCGGCAGAGUGCCCAACACAAUAAUUCAAACAUCAAUGAACUCGUUUCAAUCUCCUCGGCAUGAAUUCACCAUCAGUUCGCUUCAAUUCAUAGUCAAACGUCCAAACCGAAACAAAUUUCACAAGAACCCUAACCUUAAGUUUCAAAUUUAAACCCUAAAUAAAUGGAAUCAAAGCCCAUUUUGUUGGGGUUGCGAUUCCCCAUGCCUUAAACUAUAUACUGGUAACCCGAAUUAGGGAAAAUGAAGGAGAAGACAACCUACCUUUGAACACUGGUAUGCAUUGAAGUCUGAGGUGCAACAAAGAAGACAACGAAGAUGAUGAUGCAUGUAUUUUAUUUGGCUCUGAGUCUUCUUUCCUUCCUUUUCUUCUUCUUCUUCUUGCUUUUUAUGAGUGCUUGUGUUGAGAUUGAUGAGAGUGAGUUGGAUGAGAGAUUUGAUGUUCUAUUGAUUCAGGAUGAUGAUGAAGUGAUAUGGUGAUGAGAGAUUGCAGAGAGUGAAUGAGAUUGAGCAGUGAGAGAUUUUUGGGGAAUUAUUGGGUGAUUAUUGUGUGAGCCCUAAUCAGUGAUUGGUAAAGGAGAUUUAUAGAGUUUUCGAAGGCUAACUCUAUCAAAUAUGUUAAGAAAUCACAGUGCAAAGUUUGUGAAAAGUUAGUUAGGAUCAAAAUUUGUUAGAGUCAGUUAGUCAGGGAUUCUUUUAUUAACUCUGUUAGUGAAGUUAUGGUUAGUUGAGUUUCAUUACUAUGGUUAGUUUGGAAAUUAGUUACUGUUAAAGUUAGUUUGGAUUUAGUUUGGAGUUAGUUAUUGUUAACUGAAAAUGAAUAAUUAUGAGGUUGUGUAAAAUCUUUUAAAGUUAGUUGCAGGCUUAUGUUAAGAUUGUUAGUUGAAAGUUAGUAAGUGGUUAGUUAUGAAGUUAGAAAAAUUCGGUUAAAAAUUAGUUAGUCAAUGAAUGUUAAAGAAAAUUGUUAUGAAGGUUAGUUUAUUAUAGUGUUAAAGUGCAGUUAGUUUAUAGUUCGGAAAUUAUGUUAAGGAAGUUAGCCUGAGUUAGUUCUGUUAAUAGUUGCAAUUAGUUUAGAAAUGAGUAUUUUGUUAAAUUUCUAACUGAUAUGCUGCUGCUCAAUGCUUGGAAUUUGGUUAUUAUUAUUAUUAUUAUCAUUUCUGUUGUCAUGUAUAAGGUCUAGUGUGACAGUAGGAAAAUAUGAUUUCAAAUGUGUUGUAUGUGAAUCUUGUCAUCAAAUUGGUUGAAGAUGUGAUGUAUGAUGAUGAUUUAUUGAAUUUGAAUGUAAUAAAUUGUGUACUUUGAAUUAGAUGCAAUGCAAUGCUACUAGGGAUGAUUUGCUAUAUGAAUUUGAAGGGCUUGUAUAGUCAGAUGGGACACUUCCAUAUUGAAAUUUGAAUGCAAGGUCAAACUAACUGAAGACAACCCUGCCCCUGGUUAAGAUUGAUGGUUUUAUGUGCAGAAAGAAACUCCUAAUCUAAGGCCGAAAGGGUUGACUAGGGAUUAUCUUCCUCAUGCCUCUGGUGUUUAAGGAUAUUAAAUAAUGCCUUACAUCGUUAGAAAGUUUAUCGACUUUGUAGAAUCUGACUGAGCCUGAGGAGGUUGUUGACAUUGGGCUACAACAGCAUACGAGAACGGGUAGUAUAACAUGGGAGCCAUAGGUGCUUGGAACUGAGAGGGAAUUUGAGGAGUAAUAACAUGUUGCAACAUCUGAGUAGAGUAUAUCAGGCAAGGAUUUCCAAUUUGUGUGCCUGGGUUGGCAACAUGAGCAUAUUAGACCCCAUAAAGAGCAUAGGGUGCCCUAGAAUAAGAAUGUGUAGGUACAACAUCGACAGAAGGUGCCCAAGGAUAGGUAAAAGGAAUUCCAGAGUAAUAACGUUGAUACUGAUACUGUGGAGCUAUCUAGAAAACUGAAGCAGGAAUUUGAACGUGAUUGGGAGGACCCAUUAAUUUAGGCUCAUUCUCAAAAAGUGCCUUAGCAGUCACAAGUGUGAAUCAUAUCAACUUUUAAUCGAUCAGCUCUUGGAAUUUUUUCUUGAAAACAUAAUAAGCCUUUGUAGAA